UACAGAGGGGGCAAGCGUUGUUCGGAAUUACUGGGCGUAAAGGGCGCGUAGGCGGCCUUCUAAGUCGAACGUGAAAUCCCUGGGCUCAACCCAGGAACUGCGUCCGAUACUGGAAGGCUUGAAUCCGGGAGAGGGAUGCGGAAUUCCAGGUGUAGCGGUGAAAUGCGUAGAUAUCUGGAGGAACACCGGUGGCGAAGGCGGCAUCCUGGACCGGUUCUGACGCUGAUGCGCGAAAGCGUGGGUAGCAAACAGG
rnacentral:rRNA from 1 species